GACUCUCGGCAACGGAUAUCUCGGCUCUCGCAUCGAUGAAGAACGUAGCGAAAUGCGAUACCUGGUGUGAAUUGCAGAAUCCCGCGAACCAUCGAGUCUUUGAACGCAAGUUGCGCCCGAGGCCACUCGGCCGAGGGCACGCCUCGCUGGGCGUCA
rnacentral:rRNA from 1 species